UCUUCCACUGAAGCAGCACGGGCUCCCUCGGCCAUGGCUCCUCCUCCUCCUCCUCCCUUCCACCCUCUUCUCCCUCCACACGUCGGCCUCCCUCUCGCGCCGCCGGAAUGCUCUUCCCCGCGCCGCCCCGGCUCUGCUCCUGUGCUGCCAAAGCUCCGCCCCGCGCCGCCUGUGCUCCCGCCUCCGCCCCCCACGCCGCUCGAGCUCCGCCUGGGCGGGCGCCCGAGCUCCUCCCCGCACCGCCGGGGCUCCGCCUGCUCUCCGCCCCCGCGCCGAUCCGAGCUCCCGCCCCGCACCGGACCGACCUCCCACGCCGCGCGAGAUCCGCCUAGCACCGCCCGGACUCCAACCCCGCGCCGCCUGAGCUCUGCCCUGCGCCAGUCCGAGCUCCGCCCACGCCGCCCGAGCUCCGCCUGAGCUCACGGCAAGAGACGCUGUCGAAGUGGAACGGCUCGGUUCGCUCGUUUUUCCGGGAUCCAGCCGUCCCGGAUCUGAAGGAAUAUUCCCUCCUUGCCAUGGCUCCAUCCUCAGGCUCACGAACCACGCACAGAGCUGAACCAAACACGGAACGGAACGUUCCAUCCCAGAUUGUUCCAGAAUCAAACACUACCAAGAGAGCGAGAAAAAGAAGGAAUCGACAACUUCUGGUGACGAUGAGGAUCCGAGCUGCAGCAGUGGAUCUUGCCUUUUGAGCCAAUCGGCGCGUGCUAAGGAAGCUGCAGAGCGGAAGGCAGGUUGCUAAGGACGCCGCCUCCAUCCGGCGACAAGCAACCAAAAUCCCGAAACCGUAAAAGCCUGAAACAAAUAGUAAAACAGCCAUCAUAUUUACUCCUAGUCAGAUCGGUUGAUCAUCUAUUCAGGUUCAGAUCGCAUCUUUCUUCUCCACAAUCUGGGUGCGAUUGGAGCAACGAGAUCCUACUCCAGGCCGUAGGGCCCAGAUCCGGCCAGAGGUGAGCUGCGUGUCCUCCUCCGGGAUCUCGAUCGAUCAGGCCAUGGUCGAAGGGCCGCCACGACAGUAGCUCGCGCAGCUCCGUGGAGGAUCUAAACUGGUGGUGUCAUCGGUGGACUCUUCAUCAUGGGCAGAGGUGACCAGGACGCUGCCUGACCCGCCUAUCUGCAUGGAAUUUCAUAGCUUCCUGUCCAGGAUGCAUAGCAUUUUGCAUUUUGUGGACUGGCCGGAGUAGCAAUCUUCAGGCCGCAGGCAAUUCAUGUGCACGGCGGUGCUCAUUUUGUACAAUUUUUGGACCCCUGCACGAUGAGCAGCUACACCGUACCGGGACGGCGGCGGGCUCUCUCCGCAUUCUACUGGCUUUGUUUCCUGCUCACAGUUUAAUCCUGCUUUGUGAGGAGUAUAAUCCUGCUUUGUGAGGAGUAAAUACUCCUGCGAAACAGAGCAACAUGGUUCCUGAUUGAUUAUCGUGCACCAAUUUAGAAUAGAGAUGUUGCAAAUAUUCAGAGAUGUUUGUGGUCUGAUGUUUAACAGCAAGAUCAAUAGCUGAAUCUGAGAUCCAAUACUUUCUUUUUCUAUAAAGGUUGUACAUACAAGAGUAAUUUUUUUAUGGUUCAUUGUUGGAGUAUUUUCUUAGUUAAUGUGCUUGGAAUAUAUGGAGUAUA